UUCUUCGGGGCAGGGUGAUAUGCAAAGGCAUAGAUUCCCGACCGACGGUAACCUGGCAACAGGAAGUCCGUGAACUGCUUCGGCAGCCGAUCCGGUGUGAAUCCGGAACCGACAGUAUAGUCUGGAUGAGAGAAGAUG
rnacentral:ncRNA from 1 species